UACGGAGGGUGCAAGCGUUAUCCGGAUUCACUGGGUUUAAAGGGUGCGUAGGUGGCUUUGUAAGUCAGUGGUGAAAUGCCGCAGCUCAACUGCGGAACUGCCAUUGAUACUGCUUAGCUUGAAUCACGUCGAGGUGGAUGGAAUAUUACAUGUAGCGGUGAAAUGCUUAGAUAUGUAAUAGAACACCGAUUGCGAAGGCAGUUCACUAGGCGUGUAUUGACACUGAGGCACGGAAAGCGUGGGAUCAAACAGG
rnacentral:rRNA from 1 species